CAAGAUCGAUUAUGUGCAGAAUUAUCCAAGGACUAACAAUUUGAGAGAUAUCUAUAAGUCAUAUUGUGUCCAAGGUUGGAUGAUGUGCAGGAACACCUGAAAACUAGCAAUUGGAGAGAUAUCUGAAAGUCAUCUCUUAUCCAAAGUCGGAUAAUGUGCAGGAUUACCUAAAGGCUAGAAAUUCAAAGGAUAUCUAUAAGUCGC
rnacentral:lncRNA from 1 species